AGAUAUCAGAUAUCAUCCUCUCCAGAACACUGUAACAUCACUCUGACUACAACACUCCUGAAUGAAGACAACAACAGAGAGUGGAGAUGUCAGAUUACUGAAGGAACUGACGUGAAGACCUCAGUCAGCUAUACUGUCAAGUAUUUGGCAGACAGUAAAAUGUCAUUUGGAUCAUUAUUGAGAGUGAUUAUAAUUAUCGUUGAGAUUGCAGCAGUAACUACUCCUACUGUUAUUCUGCUUCAGAUCAUCUGUGAAAGGAGAGCUGAAAACAAAAGAAGAGCUGAAACACCUAGAAGAC